rnacentral:lncRNA from 1 species
CAGUCACCACAUCACAAGUGCAGUGAGGAUACAAUUGACAUAGAGAUGAAAGAUAUAUACAGAAUAUGUGGAAUGUUAAUUUCAGGGAAAAACAAUAAGGGGAAAAACCAGGAGAAGAGACAAGCCAAAAAUGAGACCAGUAAUUGAUGUGAAGAUGAAGGGCUGUUUCAGUGAUAGUGCUGAACUAUGAUUAGAACGAGCUCGACGAUGAAUUAUUCCUUUUGGCACCUUCAUAUCAUCCACUAUAAAUUCCUUGUUUUCUACUAAUUCAUACUUAUUUCCAUCUUUGUGCGAACUGACUCUAACAAGAGUAGUGUCCGCAACAUUUUCUUGCUUUUCGACAGCUUUGCUUUUGUUUGUUGAUGCAUGAGAAAUUUCAGAAGCAGCUGCACUUGUUAAAGCUACAGCGCAUAAUAAAAUAACAAAACAAAGAGGGAAACUAAACUUCAUCUUUCUUACUAAUUGGAGCAAAAUACCUGUAAUAGUACUCUCAGUGAUCUUUCCUUAAUUUUCCUGUUUGGGCUGGCUGAGUGUAUAAGAGGGUGUGUAUAUAUAUAUAUAGGAGAUCUUCCUCAGGAUUGUAUAUUAUUCUUUUCUUUACCUUCUUUCUUAAUCUCCAUCCACCUUAAUUUUAGAGCAUAGAUGCCCAACCCCACAAAUGGAACCAAAACAUUGCUCUCCUUAAAAGCUUAUAUAAACCAACAACAACAUAACAAGUAUAAUCACACAACACAAGCAGUAGCGGAUCCAGAAUUUUUAUCAAGGGGUGUCAAAAUAUAAAUAAUUAGAUAUAUCGAAAAGUCAAGGGAAAU